rnacentral:misc_RNA from 1 species
GAUGAAGAACGCAGCGAAAUGCGAUACUUGGUGUGAAUUGCAGAAUCCCGUGAACCAUCGAGUCUUUGAACGCAAGUUGCGCCCGAAGCCAUUAGGCCGAGGGCACGCCUGCCUGGGCGUCACACGUCGUUGCCCCCCCAUCUACUCCUUCGGGAUUGCGGGGGGCGGAUGAUGGCCUCCCGUGCGCCUCGCCGCGCGGUUGGCAUAAAUGCCAAGUCCUCGGCGACGCACGCCACGACAAUCGGUGGUUGCGAAACCUCGGUUGCCCGUCGUGUGCGGUCGUCGCGCAACGAGGGCUCGAAAAAAUUGCCGGGUUCCGGCUCGGCUUUCAACGCGACCCCAGGUCAGGCGGGGUUACCCGCUGAAUUUAAGCAUAUCAAUAAGCGGAGGA